rnacentral:rRNA from 1 species
GACGAAGGUGGCGAGCGUUGUUCGGAAUCACUGGGCAUAAAGCGCACGUAGGCGGCGGCGUAAGUCGGAUGUGAAAUCCCUCGGCCUAACCGAGGAACUGCGUCCGAUACUGCGUUGCUUGAGGAUCAAAGGGGUGCAUGGAAUUCCCGGUGGAGCGGUGAAAUGCGUUGAUAUCGGGAGGAACGCCGGCGGCGAAAGCGGUGCACUGGUUGAUUUCUGACGCUGAGGUGCGAAAGCCAGGGGAGCAAACGGG